rnacentral:rRNA from 1 species
AUUGAACGCUGGCGGCAGGCCUAACACAUGCAAGUCGAACGAGUGGCGGAUUGGUGAGUAAUGUCUGGGAAACUGGCUGAUGGAGGGGGAUAACUACUGGAAACGGUAGCUAAUACCGCAUACCAUCAGAUGUGCCCAGAUGGGAGUAGCUAGUUGGUGGGGUAACGGCUAACCAAGGCGACGCUCCCUAGCUGGUCUGAGAGGAUGACCAGCCACACUGGAACUGAGACACGGUCCAGACUCCUACGGGAGGCAGCAGUGGGGAAUAUUGCACAAUGGGCGCAAGCCUGAUGCAGCCAUGCCGCGUGUAUGAAGAAGGCCUUCGGGUUGUAAAGUACUUUCAGCGGGGAGGCGUUACCCGCAGAAGAAGCCCCGGCUAACUCCGUGCCAGCAGCCGCGGUAAUUC